rnacentral:rRNA from 2 species
GAGCGGCGAACGGGUGAGUAACACGUGAGUAACCUGCCCUCAACUUCGGGAUAAGCCUGGGAAACCGGGUCUAAUACCGGGUAGGACCUGUGGUGGCAUCACUGUGGGUGGAAAGUUUUUCGGUUGGGGAUGGGCUCGCGGCCUAUCAGCUUGUUGGUGGGGUAGUGGCCUACCAAGGCGACGACGGGUAGCCGGCCUGAGAGGGCGACCGGCCACACUGGGACUGAGACACGGCCCAGACUCCUACGGGAGGCAGCAGUGGGGAAUAUUGCGCAAUGGGCGGAAGCCUGACGCAGCGACGCCGCGUGGGGGAUGACGGCCUUCGGGUUGUAAACCUCUUUCAGCAGGGACGAAUUCAGACGUGUACCUGUAGAAGAAGCGCCGGCUAACUACGUGCCAGCAGCCGCGGUAAUACGUAGGGCGCAAGCGUUGUCCGGAAUUAUUGGGCGUAAAGAGCUCGUAGGUGGCUUGUCGCGUCUGCCGUGAAAGCCCAUGGCUUAACUGUGGGUCUGCGGUGGAUACGGGCUGGCUAGAGGUAGGUAGGGGCAAGCGGAAUUCC